rnacentral:rRNA from 1 species
CGGAUGGGGACAACAGCUGAAAACGGCUGCUAAUACCGAAUACGUUCCGAAAGUCGCAUGACUGUCGGAAGAAAGGAUGGCCUCUAUUUAUAAGCUAUCGCCGGAGGAGGGGUUUGCGUCUGAUUAGCUAGUUGGAGGGGUAACGGCCCACCAAGGCGACGAUCAGUAGCCGGUCUGAGAGGAUGAACGGCCACAUUGGAACUGAGACACGGUCCAGACUCCUACGGGAGGCAGCAGUGGGGAAUCUUCCGCAAUGGGCGAAAGCCUGACGGAGCAACGCCGCGUGAGUGAAGACGGCCUUCGGGUUGUAAAGCUCUGUUAUACGGGACGAAUAAUCUUGUGGUUAAUACCCAUAAGAAGUGACGGUACCGUAAGAGAAAGCCACGGCUAACUACGUGCCAGCAGCCGCGGUAAUACGUAGGUGGCAAGCGUUGUCCGGAAUUAUUGGGCGUAAAGGGCGCGCAGGCGGCUUCUUAAGUCUGUCUUAAAAGUGCGGGGCUUAACCCCGUGAUGGGAUGGAAACUGGGAAGCUCAGAGUAUCGGAGAGGAAAGCGGAAUUCCUAGUGUAGCGGUGAAAUGCGUAGAUAUUAGGAGGAACACCAGUGGCGAAAGCGGCUUUCUGGACGAAAACUGACGCUGAGGCGCGAAAGCCAGGGGAGCGAACGGGAUUAGAUACCCCGGUAGUCCUGGCCGUAAACGAUGGGUACUAGGUGUAGGAGGUAUCGACCCCUUCUGUGCCGGAGUUAACGCAAUAAGUACCCCGCCUGGGGAGUACGGCCGCAAGGUUAAACUCAAAGGAAUUGACGG